AGCAGCCGCGGUAAUUCCAGCUCCAAUAGCGUAUAUUAAAGUUGUUGCAGUUAAAAAGCUCGUAGUUGAAUUUCGGGACCAAUAUGUCGGUCGUGCCUCGGUACGUACUGGUGUCAUUGGUUUCUCCCUUCUGAGGAUCCUUGAUGUCAUUAAUUUGGUGUCUUGGGGAAUCAGGACUGUUACCUUGAAAAAAUUAGAGUGUUUAAAGCAGGCAUGCGCUUGAAUACAUUAGCAUGGAAUAAUGAAAUAGGACGUUCGAUUCUAUUUUGUUGGUUUCUAGGAUCGACGUAAUGAUUAAUAGGGAUAGUUGGGGGCAUUAGUAUUCAAUUGUCAGAGGUGAAAUUCUUGGAUUUAUUGAAGACUAACUACUGCGAAAGCAUUUGCCAAGGAUGUUUUCAUUAAUCAAGAACGAAAGUUAGGGGAUCGAAGACGAUCAGAUACCGUCGUAGUCUUAACCAUAAACUAUGCCGACUAGGGAUCGGAUGAUGUUAAUUUUUUAAUGACUCAUUCGGCGCCUUACG
rnacentral:rRNA from 1 species